rnacentral:rRNA from 1 species
AGGGUUUGAUUCUGGCUCAGAUUGAACGCUGGCGGCAGGCCUAACACAUGCAAGUCGAGCGGUAACAGGAGAAAGCUUGCUUUCUUGCUGACGAGCGGCGGACGGGUGAGUAAUGUAUGGGGAUCUGCCCGAUAGAGGGGGAUAACUACUGGAAACGGUGGCUAAUACCGCAUAAUGUCUACGGACCAAAGCAGGGGCUCUUCGGACCUUGCACUAUCGGAUGAACCCAUAUGGGAUUAGCUAGUAGGUGGGGUAAAGGCUCACCUAGGCGACGAUCUCUAGCUGGUCUGAGAGGAUGAUCAGCCACACUGGGACUGAGACACGGCCCAG